rnacentral:rRNA from 1 species
UGCACUAGUUUAUUUUGUUUAAGCGAUGGAGGGACGCAGGAGGCUAAGGAAAGCGCACGGCUGGAAAAGUGCGUCCAAGCAGUAAGUCCGGUAGCGAGUGAAAUGCUUGCCGCCUUAAGGACAAGCUGUGAUGGGGAGCGAAAUUAAAGUAGCGAAGUUCCUGAUGUCACACUGCCAAGAAAAGCUUCUAGUGAGAAAUAAACUACCCGUACCGCAAACCGACACAGGUAGUCGAGGAGAGUAUCCUCAGGUGAGCGAAGCGAACUCUCGUUAAG